rnacentral:ncRNA from 1 species
GGAAUCUAACUGUUUAAUUAAAUUUUAAUUUAAUUAUAAAGCACACCAUGGCAUUGAUGAAUAUGAUUUCUGCUCUGUUCUCAAUUUCAAAGUGAAAAACUUAACCUAGGACACGUCAACAACAGAAUUAACUGAGUUGCUUAAGCUAGCCAAAUGCCUUAUCAUUUAAUUAGUGGUGCACAUGACUAGAUGAAUGAGAUCUCC